AGUUGUAGAUGAGAAGAGUAGGACAUCUGGACUGCAUGGUGUCCAAGUACAAUAGGCCGUCAGUGGGACAUCAUAGAGGGUGACAAUCCCGUCCUUGACACCAAUGUACGAGUCCUUUACGAUGCCUAUCUCGGAGAGUCGAGCAGUUUGGGAUUUGCUGCUUAAACACGGGAGGUAGAUUCCUUCCAAAGCUAAAUACAGGCAAGAGACCGAUAGUGAACAAGUACCGCAAGGGAAAGAUGAAAUAGAACUCUGUGAAGGGAGUCAAAAAGACGUGAAAUUGUUGCGAGAGAAGCGAUUCAAGUCAGCGUAGCUGGGCCCAUCAAGCCUCGCGCUUUGGACCAGCUUUGCCAGCGGUCUUGUCCCCAGAGACUUGAGCUAAGGUGCCCUGCCCGGUCUAACGGACAGACCUCCCCGCUGGGGAGGCCAGUGGCAUGGCUGGUGGAAUGGCUUGCAAUCGACCCGUCUUGAAACACGGACCAAGGAGUCUAACAUGUACGCGAGUAUAAGGGUGGCAAACCCGUAUGCGCAAAGAAAGUGAUAGCCUAUGGCUGAGAAUGACCUGACGACCAGACAAGAAACAUCCAUGUCCCUCGUACGGUCAUUGCCCAAGUCCCAUGGUCAGAUCCCAUGGACAUGGAGUUGGAGCGUGCAUGCUAGGACCCGAAAGAUGGUGAACUAUGCCUGGACAAAGCGAAGCCAAAGGAAACUCUGGUGGAGGCUUGUAGCGAUUCUGACGUGCAAAUCGAUCGUCUGAUCUG
rnacentral:rRNA from 1 species